UUAUAUACCAUCAAAACAUAAAAAAUAAAAAAAAUUGGGUAGCUAGUUCUCAAAGGAACUUGGUGAUGGUGGAGGCUGCAGCAGCAGAUCUGGUUGUGGGUCACGAAGGAAUAGAUCCGAUAGAGGGUUAGGUUACUGCAUGCGCGGGCUGCGCUUCAUCCGUGUCUUCUCUGCGUUUGUUGUCGGCUGCCGCUUUUCUUUUGGCUUUUGCGAUGUGUGUGUGUGUGUAUGAAGUCGUGAAUGUGAAGGGCUGUGAGGCUGCGAUCUGUGAAGGCAGUGAAAUGAUCUGUGGCUGUGUGCAUAUGUUUGUGUGGCUAUGCAUAUGUUUGUGUGUGGCUUUGUGCCUAUGUUUGUGUGUGGCUGUGUGCGUGUGUUAUAAUUUCAUUUUUUUUAUUUGUUAAUUUUUUUUAGCCAACUCGAUCGGGUUACCUGAUCCGAUCGGGUUGACACAAAUACACCCGAUUAGAUUUUAUUCACUACCCGAUCCGAUCUGAACCUGAAAUUUUUCAGAUCUGGUCAGAUUAGGUCAAGUCGGGUAUUGUGCCCACCUCUACUAAGUUAUUUACUUGAGUUGUAGGAAUUAAAGUCAGAAUUGGCUAUAUUCCCAUGUGUUUGUUGUCUCUUAUAAUAAAAAAAGAUUAUUACAAGUUAUCAAAAUGUCAUUAUUUAAUUAUAGUCCUUAGUAGUAUUAUUAUAGUAUUAUUAUAGUCCUUAGUAGUAUUAUUAUAGUAAACAAUAAAAAUAAAAAUUAUAUUUACCAAAAUGUCCUUAGUUAAUUAUUGUCCUUAGUACUAUUAUAUUACCUACUA
rnacentral:lncRNA from 1 species